rnacentral:rRNA from 1 species
AUUGAACGCUGGCGGCAUGCUUUACACAUGCAAGUCGAGCGGCAGCACGGGGGCAACUGCGGUGGCGAGGGGCGAAGGGGUGAGUAAUACAUCGGAACACGCGCAGGCGGGGGGGAUAACACUUCGAAAGAAGUGCUAAUACCGCACACGUCCUGAGGGGGAAAGCGGGGGAGCGCGAGACCUCGCGGGCUGGGAGUGGCCGAUGUCAGAUUAGCUAGUUGGUGGGGUAAAGGCCUACCAAGGCAACGAUCUGUAGCUGGUCUGAGAGGAUGAUCAGCCACACUGGGACUGAGACACGGCCCAGACUCCUACGGGAGGCAGCAGUGGGGAAUUUUGGACAAUGGGGGCAACCCUGAUCCAGCCAUGCCGCGUGAGUGAAGAAGGCCUUCGGGUUGUAAAGCUCUUUUGGCAGGAACGAAACGGUGUCCUCUAACAUAGCUUGCUAAUGACGGUACCUGAAGAAUAAGCACCGGCUAACUACGUG